rnacentral:lncRNA from 1 species
UUACAUUGUGGUUGUCACACAGAUUUAAUUGAAAAGUUAUCUAUAAACACAGGUUAUUUUGCAAAAGUUAAGAGACUUAUCGUUCCAAACAAAAUUAGCAAUCAGAUCCCUUAUUGUGCAUUCACCAUUUUUUUAAUCAUAAAUAGAGAAAAGAGAUUGCCUCAUAAAACAAGGCGACAACAAAAGCAAGAAAAAAGGGA